rnacentral:rRNA from 1 species
AAUCAACGCUGGCGGCGUGCCUCAGACAUGCAAGUCGAACGAUUAAAGCUCCCUUCGGGGGGUGCAUAAAGUGGCGCACGGGUGAGUAACACGUAAGUAAUCUACCCUCGGGCGGGGAAUAACAACCGGAAACGGUUGCUAAUACCGCAUAAUGCAGCGGCACCGCAAGGUGACAGUUGCUAAAGGAGCAAUCCACCUGAGGAGGAGCUUGCGGCAGAUUAGCUUGUUGGUAAGGUAACGGCUUACCAAGGCUACGAUCUGUAUCCGGUCUAAGAGGACGGUCGGACACACUGACACUGAAUAACGGGUCAGACUCCUACGGGAGGCAGCAGUCGGGAAUUUUGGGCAAUGGGGAAAACCCUGACCCAGCAACGCCGCGUGAAGGAUGAAGUAUUUCGGUAUGUAAACUUCGAAAGAAUAGGAAGAAUUAAUGACGGUACUAUUUAUAAGGUCCGGCUAACUACGUGCCAGCAGCCGCGGUAAAAC